GACGAACGCUGGCGGCGUGCUUAACACAUGCAAGUCGAACGAUGAAAGUGGAGCUUGCUCCGCUGGAUUAGUGGCGAACGGGUGAGUAACACGUGGGCAACCUGCCCCAGACUCUGGGAUAGCUCCUCGAAAGAGGUGCUAAUACCGGAUACGAACUCCUUGGGCAUCCUUGGAGUUGGAAAGUUUUUCGGUCUGGGAUGGGCCCGCGGCCUAUCAGCUUGUUGGUGGGGUAGUGGCCCCCCAAGGCGACGACGGGUAGCCGGCCUGAGAGGGCGACCGGCCACACUGGGACUGAGACACGGCCCAGAAUCCUACGGGAGGCAGCAGUGGGGAAUAUUGCGCAAUGGGCGAAAGCCUGACGCAGCGACGCCGCGUGGGGGAUGACGGCCUUCGGGUUGUAAACCUCUUUCAGCAGGGAAGAAGCGAAAGUGACGGUACCUGCAGAAGAAGCACCGGCUAACUACGUGCCAGCAGCCGCCGUAA
rnacentral:rRNA from 1 species